UCUUAAGCAGCCGCGUUGCCCCUCUUCAUCUCCUCUCCGUUCGACGCUCCCAUCUCCGGCGACAGCUUUCCUUGAUCUCCUUGUCGGCGACUUGGAGUAGCGACGAACGACGACGACAUCUCAUACCAGCGACUAGACCAGCGUUUUCCUCCCCUUUGAUAAGUAUUAUCAUUUUGAAAACGUGAAUGGCAACUUUCACAAGGGCUCUAAAAAAAGCUCAUCAAGUUUUAUACUUGAAAGCCUCCUCCACCAUUUUGAGAAGCAAAUUGAUGCCCCUUUUGCCUAGCGCUUUGAUUGGGUUGGAAAAUCUACAAAGCCAACUAACAAAUCACAAUCAGAAUCACCAUGCUUGUUUCUUUAGUUUUCGUUGCUCUUCAACAAGUACAAAUCCUCACAUCGAUCUCUCAAAUGAAGAUAGCAAGAGGCAUUUAUUCAAUAGGUUGUUGUACCGGAGCAAACAACGAGGGUUUUUGGAAUUGGAUUUGGUACUUGGGAAAUGGGUAGAGGAUCACAUCAAUUCAUUAGAUGCAGAUGGUAUUCGAGCUCUAAUUAAUGUUCUUGACCUGGAAAAUCCAGAUUUAUGGAAAUGGUUAACUGGCCAGGAGCAACCCCCUGAAGCUGUGAAGACAAAUCCUGUAUUUACUAGUGUGCAAGAGAAGGUCAUGAACAAUCUCGACAGACAUGCCUCACCUGAGACAAGAACACCACCUGGGCG
rnacentral:misc_RNA from 1 species